AUGAACGCUGGCGGCGUGCUUAACACAUGCAAGUCGCACGGAAAGGCUCCUGCUUGCCGGGGUACUCGAGUGGCGAACGGGUGAGUAACACGUGGGUGAUCUGCCCUGCACUUCGGGAUAAGCCUGUGAAACUGGGUCUAAUACCGGAUAGGACCACAUUUUGGAUGGUGUGGUGGAAAGUUUUUCGGUGUGGGAUGAGCUCGCGGCCUAUCAGCUUGUUGGUGGGGUAAUGGCCUACCAAGGCGUCGACGGGUAGCCGGCCUGAGAGGGUGUACGGCCACAUUGGGACUGAGAUACGGCCCAGACUCCUACGGGAGGCAGCAGUGGGGAAUAUUGCACAAUGGGCGCAAGCCUGAUGCAGCGACGCCGCGUGGGGGAUGACGGCCUUCGGGUUGUAAACUCCUUUCGCUAGGGACGAAGCGCAAGUGACGGUACCUGGAGAAGAAGCACCGGCUAACUACGU
rnacentral:rRNA from 1 species